AUGACCACGCGCUUCAUGGUGUGUGGUGGAAAGCUUUUGCGGUGUGGGAUGGGCCCGCGGCCUAUCAGCUUGUUGGUGGGGUAAUGGCCUACCAAGGCGACGACGGGUAGCCGGCCUGAGAGGGUGACCGGCCACACUGGGACUGAGAUACGGCCCAGACUCCUACGGGAGGCAGCAGUGGGGAAUAUUGCACAAUGGGCGCAAGCCUGAUGCAGCGACGCCGCGUGAGGGAUGACGGCCUUCGGGUUGUAAACCUCUUUCAAUAGGGACGAAGCGCAAGUGACGGUACCUAUAGAAGAAGGACCGGCCAACUACGUGCCAGCAGCCGCGGUAAUACGUAGGGGCCGAGCGUUGUCCGGAAUUACUGGGCGUAAAG
rnacentral:rRNA from 1 species